GCAGUGCCAUCCCAGAAGAACGGUUAAAAGGACUUUAGUUUUAGGCACUAUUCUUCUUGAAACUCUGGGAGUUGGGAUUUUGUUAGGAACUUUGUCAGGGUGUACUCAUGAGAGUUGCAGAAUUUGCUGUCGUGCCUUUGCUCUGCCAUACCUAAGGGAGCCGUGGAUUGUAUUAAAGUGACUUGGUUGCAUAGUCCUUGUGAGAAUUUUGUAAUGCUACAAGAGAUGCAGUUGAAUGAAUGUGCUGGGAACACAAAGCGCAGCAACAGAGAAGGAUGUCAUCUUCAUCCCUAGAAUGGCUUCAUUUUCCACUGGGAAAAGAAGAGAAAAAGAAUGUGGCUGAAUGUAGAAAUUUCUGAAGAAGAGGAGGUAAGAGUGAAAUUUAGACCUGCAGUAACUACGAGCUUAUGGGAGGGCCCCACAUCAGUCCCCGAAAUGAGGCGCGCCAGGAAGGUGGGUGGAAAUGCUGCCAGGAGGCCAGCAGGCCAGUGGGCCAAAGCUUAAUAGGAAAACAGCAGCGAUUUGUCUCCACCACUAUUUACGUUUCAAGCACAUGACAGGCUGUCAGUGGAAGAGAAAGCUGCUAAAUUUACUGCCUUCUAGAUCCCUGCCACAGUCACACACUUGACAAGUCACUUCAUUUUAAAGCCUGUCUUUUACCAGGCUUCUCUCCCCGUCCCUGCUUCUCAAAUACAGACAACAAACAUGCUGCCAGUGGGCGUGGAAGGAGGGUUUUAAAAAUGCAUUUAAACUAC